rnacentral:piRNA from 2 species
UCUAACAGUUGAUGGGUCUUUAGGA